GCUGGGCAUGGUGACGCAUGCCUAUAAUCCCAGAGACUUGGGAGGCUGAGGCAGGAGGAUUGCAAGUUCAACUCCAGCCUCAA
rnacentral:sRNA from 1 species